UGGUUCAAGUUAAAGUUAUAGUGUGUAGGAUUUAGUGCGAUCUAGUGGUGAGAUUGCAGAUUAUAUUUUGCUGUCGCUGGUCAUGAUUUUGCUGCCUGUCAUGUUUAGGCUUCUUUGGCAACAGAGACUCAUGCUCCUUUGCUUUCUCUUGUGACAAGCAAUAUAUAUGAUCCUACAUUUCAUAAAAAUUAGGGUUCUCAAACUUGUUAGCCUUCAUUAGCAACCAGUAGAUGUACA